rnacentral:rRNA from 1 species
AUUGAACGCUGGCGGCAUGCUUUACACAUGCAAGUCGAACGGCAGCAUGGGUGCUUGCACCUGAUGGCGAGUGGCGAACGGGUGAGUAAUGUAUCGGAACAUGUCCGGAAGUGGGGGAUAACGUAGCGAAAGUUACGCUAAUACCGCAUAUGCCCUGAGGGGGAAAGGAGGGGAUCGCAAGACCUUUCGCUUUCGGAGUGGCCGAUAUCAGAUUAGCUUGUUGGUGAGGUAAAGGCUCACCAAGGCGACGAUCUGUAGCGGGUCUGAGAGGAUGAUCCGCCACACUGGGACUGAGACACGGCCCAGACUCCUACGGGAGGCAGCAGUGGGGAAUUUUGGACAAUGGGGGCAACCCUGAUCCAGCCAUGCCGCGUGAGUGAAGAAGGCCUUCGGGUUGUAAAGCUCUUUCGGACAGAAAGAAAUCGCACUUACUAAUACUGAGUGUGGAUGACGGUACUGUAAGAAGAAGCACCGGCUAACUACGUGCCAGCCGCCGCCGUAACAC